rnacentral:lncRNA from 1 species
CAAGCAUUACGAAUGUGAAAUAAAUAAUCAAAUUAAUAAUAUAUUGCGCUUUAGAGACAUUUUGCCGAUUAGCUUUAGAAAAAAGAGGUAUUUAGAGAUGCAAUCUAAAACAUCAGCGAAUAUCAGCGGUUGCCAACAUGGGUUUACAAAUCAUCUAUGUCCAAAUCUUUAUAUGAUGGAACUGCAUGAGAAGAUAGCAAAAACUUCAGUUUAAGAUCUUUUGCUUCAUCAGAACAUAGCGACCAUCAAAUUGCAUUUGAGCUAUCAUACAAAGAACCUAAAAAUAAGUUAUUAAAGAUAAUAUUUGAUGAUCACAAUAAUCUCAUAAGAUCUAAUAUUCAUAUCUACACUUCUUAAAAAAAAUUAAACAAAAAACAAUACAUAUCACUCAUUAUUUGUAGCAACACGAUCAGUUGAACUGCUCAAUAUCACAUUGAGCAGCUGAAAUAGAUGCCCAAAGUAUGUAUGUAGUAUUCUGAGAUUACCAAAAUGAGUUACCAUCAACAUACUUGCAACAGGUUCUGAAAAGUAACACCAGUUUAAGAUAUACUUCAUAAAUUCUUCUUGCCUCCAUGUAUGUGAAACUAGGGGUGAGCAUUCGGUUAUAUGGUUCGGUUUUUGCUAAAACCAAAUCAAACCAUAUUUUAGUUCGGUUUAAAAAAAAAAACCGAACCGAACCGAAUUAACCGAACAAACCGAACCGAAUUAACCGAAAUUUUUAUAAUUAAAACCGAACCGAACCGAAAAACCGAAUUAAUCCGAAGAAAACCGAAAUUUUCGAAAAAAACCGAAAACCGAAUUUUCGAAAAAACCGAAAUUCCAAAAAAAACUAUAAAUUUAAAAAUAUUAGAAGUUAGAUAUUAUAAAAUUAUAAUUAAAAUAUUAUAUAUAUAUCAUAUAUUUAUAUAUAUAUUAUAAAUAUAAUUUGGUUUUUCGGUUUUGUUCGGUUUUAAAAAAUCCGAACCGAACCGAACCGAAAAACCGAAAUUUUAUGGAAAAAAAACCGAACCGAACCGAAAAACCGAAAAAACCGAACCAUAUUUUAAAAUUUCGGUUUGGAUCGGUUCGGUUAUUCGGUUUCGGAUUUUUUGCUCACCCCUAUGUGAAACUGAUCUUUAAGAAUAAAAGAGCAAAAAAUUUACGAACAAAAGUGGUGCUUUAUAGAAGAUUUGUCAUGGUUUGUGACUACCAGCUAUCUGGACAGAUUUGUAGUAUCAUUUUCUCUAAUUCAAAGAGGAUGCAAAUAUCCCAUUUAAGCACGUUACCUUCAAAGAAAUUGUGCUGUACACGCAUAAUUAGGACAGACUAAUCCAUAGCAAAAAAGAACCAACCACUAUAUCUAUCAUUCUAUAUUUCUGCCUAGUGAGAGGAGCCUACUUCAAGAGAGGCAACGUCAAAUCAGAUCUGCAACAUCCAGAAAUUAAAACUCAAAUUAAAAGUAAAUUUCUCAAGGUAGAAUAAUAUUAUUGAUAAAUACUUCGCUAACUAAAGUUUAUAAAAGAUAAUAUAUCCUCAAUGUCAUAACUAUGCUAGCAAGGGAAGCUACAAUCCACAGACGGAGUAGGAAACAAAAGUCUGUUCAAGUAAUCUAAAUUUUAGCAGUGCAUUGAUUUAUUAAAUGUAGGUGUACCUUUCCUCUGUCUCAUGGCUAGAAGGCCUUAAUAUCCUGAAAUGGAGUACAUUUUCCUUGAAUUUAAUCCUAUUUUCACAGAGAGAGAAGACCAAACAGGUUGGUUUAUGGAGAAUUACCUGAAAGCAAAGGUAAAAAGAAUGAGAAAUACUGUUGUUGCAGAUUUACACUGCAAGCAAGAAUAAUAACUUUGUUAUCUAAGCAUGCCCAAGAGAAUAAAAGAAUUACCAGCAGUAGGAAAGAAGUCACUCCAAGAUAAGUAAAGACACAAUAUAUUUAGCUAUGGUUCAGACUGUGAGUGAAGCCUAUGUGGUCUUCUGUGCUAAGCUUAAAAUAAAUCCACAUCAGACAGGAAAAUCAUAAAUACAAAGGCACCUGUUCGAUAUAAGAAAGGUUUGUGGGUAACUCCAAGAACACAACAGUGUCUGCUAAUGUUAAGUUAAGACCAGUGCUUCCAGCACGGAUGCCAAUCAAGGCAAUUUUUGACCUGAUGAAAUCCAAAGAGUCGUUAUGCGUAAGUAAGGGCCUUUAAUACAAAAUCAUUUGAUAGAAGACUUAAGGUAGAACAAAAAUAUAGGAAGAGUACUGGCAUUACAAUACACNNN